AUCACCUAGGAAUCUUGGUAAAAUGCAGUUUCUGAUUCUGAAGGUCCCCAGUGGGGCCUGAAAUUCUGCAUUUGUAACAAGGUCCCAGGGAUGCUAA
rnacentral:pre_miRNA from 1 species